UACGUAGGUGACAAGCGUUGUCCGGAUUUACUGGGCGUAAAGAGCGCGCAGGCGGUCGAUCAAGUCGAGUGUGAAAGCCCCCGGCUCAACUGGGGAGGGUCAUUCGAAACUGGUCGACUCGAAGGCAGGAGAGGGUAGUGGAAUUCCCGGUGUAGUGGUGAAAUGCGUAGAUAUCGGGAGGAACACCAGUGGCGAAGGCGACUGCCUGGCCUGUUCUUGACGCUGAGGAGCGAAAGCUAGGGGAGCAAACGGG
rnacentral:rRNA from 1 species